rnacentral:rRNA from 1 species
GUCUACAGCCAUGCCACCUUGAACAAGCCCGAUGCCUGAUCUCGGAAGCUAAGCAGGGUCAGCCCUGGUUAGUAUUUGGAUGGAAGACCAGCUAGGAAGACCAGGUGCUGUAAGCA